rnacentral:lncRNA from 1 species
CAGCAGCGCGCCGCGGCCCGUGUCGCCGCUCGUCCUGCGUCCGCCGCGGUGGCCGAGCCGCGCGCCCUCCGGUCAAGCAGCACCAAAGGCUUGAAGGAUGGGUAAAGACUUCCGCUACUAUUUCCAGCAUCCUUGGUCUCGCAUGAUCGUGGCUUACCUGGUCAUCUUCUUUAACUUCUUGAUAUUCGCUGAGGACCCAGUCUCUCACAGCCAAACAGAAGCUAAUGUUAUUGUUGUUGGAAACUGUUUUUCAUUUGUAACAAAUAAAUACCCUAGAGGAGUUGGCUGGAGGAUUUUGAAGGUGCUUCUAUGGCUACUGGCCAUUCUCAUAGGACUGAUUGCUGGCAAGUUCCUCUUCCAUCAGCGUUUAUUUGGCCAGUUGCUCCGGUUAAAAAUGUUCCGGGAAGACCAUGGGUCGUGGAUGACGAUGUUCUUCAGCACAAUUCUCUUUCUCUUCAUCUUCUCUCACAUCUAUAACACCAUCCUUCUGAUGGACGGGAACAUGGGGUGAGUUACAGUGUGCUCCCCAGCCCCCAGGCGCUGAGUGCUGUGUGGGAAACGCUCAGGUCUCUCCCAGUGUUUUUCAUGGUUAUAAACAUGUUACUUAGCAGACACGGUGCCGUAGAUAGGGACGCUUUGUGUUUGUCUUACUUAGGAUAUUGCGAAUCUAUCUAUCUAUCUUUCUUUCUUUCUUUCUUUCUUUCUUUCUUUCUUUCUUUCUUUCUUUCUUUCUUUCUUUUUGGAAGAUAGAGGCAUUUACAACACCUCUGCUUGUUCUUUAUUUUUUGAAACUUCUCUCUCUCUCUCUUUUUCUUUCUUUUGGUGUAGCUUGAAGGCCAAUAACAAUUUUUUUUUUUUUAGUGAGAGAGUUCAGUGAUCCACCAUAUGCCUGGCUUAAUAAAAGUCUUGGAUACUUUGAUAUUGGUAGCCUUUGAUUGUUUGCCUUCUUUUUUUUUUUUUUUUUUUUUUAGACAUGGUCUAGGUGUGUAGUCCAGGCUAGUUUUGAGCUCGUGAUUCAUGUCUGGUGUGGUAGCAUAAAACAAAGAGUCUCUUGACAGAGAGAAGCUGGGUCCUGCUAGAGGCAGACUCCCUGGAUUAAAUGCAGAUAGAGCAUCACCCUUACUUAGCACAUCCCAACAGAAGGGAGAUUUGCUGAUAACUGCUUUGUAGAGUUUCUUUAAACUUUCUUCAGUUUUUCAUUGCAAACCAAAGCACAGAGGUCAGACUCAUGGCAAAGCUAUGCUUUGCUGAGUUUUAAAAGCAGAAGACUGGAAGACUGGUCCAACUGGUUUGCUUUCUCUUAAGUUUUAAAGGCAGUACAUUGAAGACUAGUUUAGCUUUCAAUCUUAAGAAGUUGACAAAGUACUAACAAGAAGCUGCUUAUGUAUUGAUUCUGAGAUAACUGCUAGGGAAGGUGUCUGACUGCACUCCUUACUAGAUUAUAGCCUCUGCCUCUAAAUUACAGGCUUGUUAAGACUUCCACCCAUUUCUACAGUGGGAGGUGGUUUGGAUGCUGUGUAUAGACUUUGGCUGCCACUCCUGAGUCCUGAGAGAGAAGCCCAUUUUAACAUCUUAUUUUCUCCUACUGUAAAGGGCUGACUGGUCACAAAUAAGCACAUAUUUUACACUGUUUGUAGUAGCAAAAUCCAUGAAUGAUUCUAGAUCAAAUGUUUGGGCCUAAGAAUACCGCUAGGAAUGUGUUGUGAUUAUUUCUUGCACCCAAAUAAUGCCACCAGCAAUGGGCUUAUUUUUGAUGAUGGAGUUAUAGGAGCCACUUGUGUGCCUCAAAAUAUGCCUCAGAUUUUGAUCCUCUGACAACAGUAGAUAGUGAGAGCUUAGACUCGCUAAGGCAGCCAGAGGCCUCUCUGCGAGAGACUUUUGUACUUUCAAAGCUCUGAAGGAGUCUGAUAGGCUAACACAGGCCUGUAAUCCCAAGCACCUGGGCGUCCGAGGCUGGAAAGCUGUAUUUUUACAUGGUGCUGAUAAAGCCUGUGUAAACGAUAUAAGUGAAGAUAGGGAGGUAGAUUUAAAAUUAGUAACAUGUAAUCCUGUGCACAGAGUAAAAACACUCAGCAGCUUAAUCAAAAGACUCCUAAAGAGAGCACAUAGCAGCUGAGUUGCACUGAACCUGUGCAAUGGGGACUUUUAUCGGCUCCAUUUUAUGAAUCAAGAAAUUAAGGAUUGCCCAAAGUUGAAUUCUAAUUAACUCCUCAUUCAAAAUAAUAAUAGAGGAGCUGACCUAUUAAGUAGUGACUUCUAAGGACCCAUCUCUGAAAGGUUCCCACAGAUCCCUAUUAGCCUUUUCUGUAGGUUAAUUUUCCAAGUUGACUUUUGUAAUGGAAGGAAAUAGGAGAUGUGUGUAGUAGCUAAGUGAACGGUUACAAUGGAUACAUAGUACUUUACCUAACUGCAAAUGGUUUACAAUGGAUACAUAGUACUUUACCUAACUGCAAAUGGUUUACAAUGGAUACAUAGUAUUUUACCUAACUGCAAAUGGUUUACAAUGGAUACAUAGUCUCUUACCUAAACUGUGGUUCCCUUUUAUUCUUAGAUUGAAUGCACUAUUAGAGACUAUGGAAUAUUUGAAUUCUUCCAUGAUCUGUCUCACAUUUGCUGGAAAAGAGCCUUCUACGGAAAGGAUGUCUUUAAAAAAUGACAUUUG